rnacentral:rRNA from 1 species
GACGAACGCUGGCGGCGUGCCUAAUACAUGCAAGUAGGACGCACAGCCUAUACCGUAGCUUGCUACACCAUAGGCUGUGAGUUGCGAACGGGUGAGUAACGCGUAGGUAACCUGCCUAUUAGAGGGGGAUAACUAUUGGAAACGAUAGCUAAUACCGCAUAACAGUAUGUAACACAUGUUAGAUGCUUGAAAGAUGCAAUUGCAUCGCUAGUAGAUGGACCUGCGUUGUAUUAGCUAGUAGGUAGGGUAAUGGCCUACCUAGGCAACGAUACAUAGCCGACCUGAGAGGGUGAUCGGCCGCACUGGGACUGAGACACGCUCCAGACUCCUACGGGAGGCAGCAGUAGGGAAUCUUCGGCAAUGGGGGGAACCCUGACCGAGCAACGCCGCGUGAGUGAAGAAGGUUUUCGGAUCGUAAAGCUCUGUUGUUAAGGAAGAACGAGUGUGAGAAUGGAAAGUUCAUACUGU